rnacentral:lncRNA from 1 species
AUGUCUAUGCAAUUUCAAGAUGAUACAGACGGUAUACCUCCUUCUGAGGCUGAAAGUAGGAAUGAAAGGCCCCAAAGGAUAAAGCACCCUUCAGCCAAGAUGCUAGCCCAUCUAAUAGACGAAAAGGAGCUCCUCCAUGUGAGGUUAGGUUCGGCAUGGGAGCGCAUCACAACAUUAAUGGACAGAAUUGAGAGCUUGGGUAUUACAAGGGUGCCAUCCAUAUUACAGACAGACCUUGAAGAGACCUUCGGUAUUUGGAGGGGUUUGGUGUCUAAGAUAGUCCAGGUCCUCGAGCGCAUUAACGCCAAGGAUUCAGAGUUAGAAAUAGUGAGUGUCUUAGCUGACACUAAUGAGAAAGAAAAUAAGGUGAGGGCAAUUCUAGAUGCCUUGGAAUUUAGUUCUCCAUCUGUUAAUCUAAGGUCUGAGCCAAAAGGAAAUCAGUCUUCCUUAAGCAGCCAUGAGACCAAUCUUUUAAAAUCACCUGCUGUGGCACUUAGUCUUAAGUCCAACCGCUCUAGCCAGGUAUCUAAACUAAGGGAGUGUGCAUCAUCUAAACAUAGCCACUCUAGCAAGUCUUCUGCUGCUGGGAGUGCCAUCUCUUCCCUAGCUGCCUUGCACAUUAAGGAGGCUGCACGUCUAGAGCUAAAGAGCAAGGUAGCGGGGGCGGAGGCUGAUGCUAAGGCAGCUGAUCUCACCCUUCCCUUUAAAGAAGAAGAGCAACGACUGCAAAUAGAACAGGCCCGUAGACAAAGCGAAAUGCAAAUAGAACAGGCCCGUAGACAAAGCGAAAUGCAAAUAGAACAGGCCCGUAGACAAAGCGAAAUGCAAAUGGAACAGGCCCAAAGGCAAGGUGAAAUAGAAAUGCUUAGAAUAAGGAUGGAUGCUACUGCCAAAAAGGUAAGGGCUGAGACUUUGGCCAAGGCCCUAAUUGAGCCACUCACAGAAGAAAAUGUAAGUCAGUUGCCGAAGCAGGACCCUUCUUCCAAGGUGCUUGUGCAUCUUAAUAGCUUAAACAGCCAGUUUUCGGAUGAGGAACAGGAAGACUUCUCUCCUUACCCAGAGCAGGGCCCCAAAGUCACUUUUGAGUUUCCUGCAGAGCAGAGCGUCAUAGCGGGGAGCUCACCCUUGCUCGAGCUACCUGUGCCUCCUGCUAAAUCCCUAGGUCAGUCAAUCAGGGCCUCAAGGCCGAGUGCUAGUUGGCCCUUACAGACAGCUGCACAGGGAGCCACCGAUUCGUCAGUGGUCGAUGUCAUCCCUCCAAGAGGCCAAAGGUUGACGCAAGGUGCACGGUGGGAGUCCACUCCACAACAGCAAACUCCUCAAUUGUUCCCUUCGACGCCAGAGUCCCAGCUUGUCUCCAUCAUCAGAAGCCCCAGAAGAGAUCUUAAGGACAAGGGUGUCGAAAAGUUUUCGGACAAGCCUGAGGAAUUUCUUCUCUGGAAGGCCACCUUCCAGAGAGCAAUCAGAGACUUAAAGUUAUUGCCUGAGGAAGAACUGACUCUUCUGGCUGCAUGGUUGGGCCCAGCCUCAUCCUCACAAGUUAAGAAGAUCUACGCAGCCCACGUAGCCGAUCCCGACAAAGCCCUGGAAAAGGCCUGGGCCAGGUUGCAGCAGAGGUAUGGGGCCAGCACAGAGAUUGAAGCAUCUCUUAUGGACAAGCUCCAAAGGUUCCCAGCUUUAAAACUCAAAGACUUCAAACUCUUGUGGGACCUCAGCGAUCUCCUUACGGAAUUAGAGUCGGCCAAGGAGAAUCCAGAACUGCCCGGUUUGAAGUGCCUCGAUCAGCACCUGUCCCAGAGGCAGAUCUUGACCAAGCUGCCCUUCACUUUGCAAGAACGCUGGGGACAGGAGGUCUUCAACUACAAGGAGGCCCACUCCCAGGCAUACCCUCCAUUUUCUCAUUUGGUCCAGUUCAUCACCAGGGCGGCCAGAGAAAGGAAUGAUCCGCAGACGGGCCUCCCCACCUUAUACCAAGGGACCCAGCCAGAGAAGGCACCUAAAGUGGAGAAAAAACCAUCCAGAGAGGCCAAAAGACCGGUUAGUGUUAAGGCUGUUGAAACUCAGCACAGGGCCAACGAAUCCAAGUCAGAGGUGAAGGAGGUGCUCUGCCCCAUUCACCAAAAGCCUCACAGUUUGGCCAACUGCCGGGAAUUUGGCAAGAAGCCUUAUAAAGAAAGACAACAGAUUGUACAGAAGCUGGGCAUAUGUUUUAGGUGCUGUGGAGCAACUCUUCACUUUGCAUCCAACUGCAAAGAGGACGUCAAAUGCGCAAGGUGUAACAGCCUUAAGCAUUGCACCGCGAUGCACAACUCUGACGCUGUCUCCCGCGCCAAAGGGGACACGUCUUCCAAAGAAGGGUCAUCUACUGAAGCCACCAACAUGCAGACCGCGUCACGGAUGCAGGAGGAUGCUCCAUCGGUCGCCUGUACUGAACUAUGCUCUGACGUGCACCAGUUCAGAGUCUGCCAUCCCAUCUGCCUAGCAGAUGUAUAUCCAGCCAGAAGACCUUGGCUUAAAAAGAGACUUUACAUGGCUUUGGAUUCACAAAGCGACGCCUCCCUGGCGACUCCAGAGUUUUUCCAACUGUUUGACAUAAAAACCCAGACGGUCGACUACACCAUGUCCACCUGUGUAGGGAAGAAGAAGUUGCAGGGUCGCAUAGCAUCCGGCUUUGUUGUCUCCUCUUGUGACCAGAAGAGACUGUUCGAGUUACCAGACCUCAUUGAGUGUUCCUCUAUUCCCCGGAACAAAAGGCAGAUUGUCACCAGAGAAGUCGUGGAAGCCCAUCCUCACUUGCGAACGCUGAAGAACGCCUUACCUGCUUUCCGUCCAGAUGUGGACAUUGCCCUUCUGCUUGGUGCGGACUGUCCGAACUUGUUCUAUGUGAACGACCAAGUUAAGGGACCUCCAGGGGCGCCCAUUGCUCAGCUGCUACCACUAGGCUGGACAGUUACAGGCCCAGUGUGCAUAAAUAGGAUGCACCCUCCAUCGUCGGUGGGCACUCGUCAAGCGCACGUGCUUCAAGGCAGUCGCCCCACACUAAUGCAUAGCUGUUUGAGUCGUAUCUCGGUCUAUUGUCAGGGGAUAACACCAGAGUAUUCUUCCAUCUUUGAAGUCUCCGAAAGGGAUGAAACUACAGCGCUUUCCAAAGAUGAACAGAGGUUUUUAGAGAUCAUGAACUCUCAAGUUUCCCGGAGUCCCGAGGGAAAUUGGAUAGCCCCUCUGCCUUUUAAAGCAGAAAAACCCACUUUGCCAAACAACAGGCAUGUGGCAGAAAAUAGACUCUGGUCACUGAAGAAGAAGAUGCAGAAAGACCCCAAGGUAAAGGAGCAAAUCGUUGGCUUUAUGGAAGACAUGUUCCAAAGUAACUACGCCGAGGUCUCUGAUCAAAGUAAGGUAAUGAUAGAACCCACCACAGAACUUCACAUCUUCUGUGACGCAUCUGAGCGAGCUAUAGCAGCUGUGGCAUACAUGCGACAAAAGGACAGAGAUUUUUGUCACGCAGGAUUCAUCAUGGCAAAGGCUAAAAUAGCUCCUAUGGGAACUUCAAUACCCCGGCUGGAAUUGUGUGCAGCAGUUCUUGCUGUCCAGCUCUGGCGCAUCAUCCAGCAAGAGAUAGGAGACUUGUUUCAAGAUGUCCAUUUCCACACGGACAGUACAGUUGUGCUUGGUUACAUCAACAACACAACCAAAAGAUUCAAGGUGUAUGUGGCUAAUAGAAUCAACAACAUUCUAUCCAGUUCUACGCCUAGCCAGUGGCACCACGUCGCCACCAGCAACAACCCAGCUGACAUCGCUUCCAGAGGAGCUUCAACUCAACGAGUGUUAAGUUCAAGUUGGCUGACAGGCCCCAGAUGCUUGACCGAAGUCAAUUUUCCAUCAGCCUUUUCUCCCACCGAAAAUACAGAAUUGCCCGAGUCCGUUCCAGAGGUGAAAGUUUGCAAGAUGACCACAGAAAUCAAGAUGGGCCAAAGAUCUUGCCUGGAACCACACCGUUUUGAAUGUUUUUCGGAGUGGCACAGUCUUCUUAGAGCAGUUGCUAGGCUUAUACAUCGUUUAGCUUGCAAAGAUAGUGAGCCUUUACAGGUCCAGGAUAUGAUAAAGGCUAAGAGCGUCAUAUUCAAGUCAGUACAGAGAUCUGCUUUCAAGCAGGAAAUAGCUAGGCUAGAGCAAGGGCUCAACAUCCCUAAUCAAAGUCUUCUAAAUGAGUUAAACCCAUUUCUAGACAAGGAGGGUAUUUUGAGAGUUGGAGGAAGGUUAGCCAAAGCUAAACUCAAGGCGUGCAUAAAAAACCCCAUCAUCAUACCCCCUAAUAGUCACACUGCAUUGCUGCUCGUUCGGCAUCACCAUGAAAGGAUCCAUCAUCAGGGUAGAACUCUAACUGAGGCAGCCCUUAGAAAUGAAGGUCUGUGGGUAGUUAAUGCCAAAAGGUUGGUCAACAGUUGUAUUUUCAAAUGUGUUAAAUGCAGGCGCCUUAGGCGAAACUGUCAAAGUCAGUUGAUGGCAGAACUACCUCAGGAUAGGACUUUGACAGACCCACCCUUUUCCCAUGUGGGAAUCGAUGUGUUUGGUCCUUGGGAGGUUGUCACUAGGAAAACCAGGGGUGGUGUUGUAAAUAACAAGAGGUGGGCAGUUUUGUUUACUUGUUUAGUAAUACGAGCUGUCCAUAUAGAAGUCAUAGAAGGGAUGGACACUUCAUCAUUUUUAAACGCAUUAAAAAGGUUCAUAGCCCUCAGAGGGCCAAUUAAGUCAAUUCGGUCGGACUGUGGCACCAAUUUUGUAGGUGCGACCAAAGAACUCAAUUGUGUGUCUAGGUUUGGGAGAGACCCAAAGGUUCAGAACUUUACGAAUACUGAACAAAUUAUGUGGACUUUCAAUGUUCCUCACGCCUCCCACAUGGGUGGUGUUUGGGAGAGGAUGAUUGGUAUUAGUCGCAAAAUCCUUAAUGCCAUGCUUUUGAGUCAUAGGUCAUUGACGCAUGAUGUUUUGGUGACACUUAUGGCGGAAGUUACCGCAAUUAUCAACAACCGGCCGCUGGUUCCCCUUACCAGUGACCCUGAGAACUUACAACCACUGACUCCUACACUUAUUUUGACACAAAAGGUGCCAGGAUGGAAGGACAUCAUGUUGCCAGUUCCGGACGGAACUCACCGUGCCCUGUGGAAACAGGUGCAGUCCUUGGCCAACCACUUUUGGAAAAGGUGGAAAGCUGAGUACUUAAGCCAGCUUCAAGCUAGAAGAAUCUGGCAAAGCCCACAGGACAACAUUGAGGUUAACAACGUUGUGUUGUUAAAGGACAAAGACUUGCCCCGCCAUGCAUGGCCCAUGGGCAUUGUAUUAAAGACCUUUCCUUGCCCGGACGGUAAGGUCAGGAAAGUUCAAUUAAAGACUUGCAACAGAGGCAAAGUGUCCAUUUUGGACAGACCAAUUAGUGACCUCGUGUUGCUUAUUGGAGAUGUUUAA